rnacentral:rRNA from 1 species
GAAGUUGGAGUUGCUAGUAAUCGCGGAUCAGCAUGCCGCGGUGAAUACGUUCCCGGGCCUUGUACACACCGCCCGUCACACCAUGGGAGUUGGGAGCGCCCGAAGCCGGUGAGGUAACCGAGAGGAGCCAGCCGUCGAAGGUGAGACCAAUGACUGGGGUGAAGUCGUAACAAGGUACC